CAUUUUUCUUCCUGAUAACCUUUUACUAAUGAAGCGCCAGGGCUGAGAAGAGACCAUUUACAAAUGGUGAAUCAUUAGAAACAGAUUUGUGGGCGGGAUGGAUUUUCCAGCAGAGCAUCACUUCUGAGAACACUCUCCUCUGCUAAAAGUACUUGGCAAACAGAAGCAGUGGCAGCCUCAGCCUCGGAGGCAUCCCGUACGUCCUGGCCAGCCCAGUUUACGCCAUGGAACAGAGGGAAAAUCCACCGAGGUUGCGAUCCAAAAGGUUGCUUUCUAGAAGGCAUCAAAAGACCAGCAAGGGUACAAAAAUCAGCGCAGAAGGGAAAUGCUCAGAUUGUAAGUUCUUUGAAAGCAGACUCUGUCUUAUCUCUUUUUGUAGCCCCAGUGCUUAGCACAGUGCCUGGCACACAGUAGGCACUUUAAUAAGUCCAUCUUCCUUCUUUCCCUCUUCCAUUCACAGAUUCAGCUUCUCCAAGUUCCUAACACUUCCUCACAAUCACAAAACAUGCUUAUUCACAUGUUUUCUCUUUGUCUUCCACUCUCUUAAAUGACUCUUCUCUACAGACAUUCAGUGGUCCUGAUCAGAGUCUAAGCUCUUGGUCUACAUUCUUUUCUUCAUCACAUGUAGGGACAAAUUAAUAUGAU
rnacentral:lncRNA from 1 species